rnacentral:piRNA from 1 species
UAACAUUCAUUUAUUCAUAAA